GUCAAGGUGGUGGAGUGGUUAACACGUUCGCCUGCUACUACAAGUUCAGCGGAUGCCUUCGGGCGCGCAGGUUCGAAUCCUGUCCUUGACG
rnacentral:tRNA from 1 species